rnacentral:rRNA from 1 species
UACAGAGGGUGCAAGCGUUAUUCGGAAUCACUGGGCUUAAAGCGCGUGUAGGCGGGCCGGUGCGUCGGUCGCUGAAAGCCCCCGGCUCAACCGGGGAAGCGGCACCGAGACGACCGGCCUGGAGGGGGGUAGGGGGACCUGGAACUUCCGGUGGAGCGGUGAAAUGCGUUGAGAUCGGAAGGAACGCCCGUGGCGAAAGCGAGGUCCUGGACCCUUUCUGACGCUGAGACGCGAAAGCCAGGGGAGCGAACGGG